rnacentral:rRNA from 1 species
CACUAGAAUAUUAGAAGUUAUAUUCUUUAAAUUUAAAAAAUUUGGCGGUGUUUUAGUCUAGUUAGAGGAACCUGUUUUAUAAACGAUACAACACGCAUUAUUUUACUUGUCUUGGUAGAUCAGUUUGUAUACCGUCAUUAUAAGAUAAUUUAUGAGAAAAUAUUAUUGAAAUCAUAUUAUUGAGUAUAUUAGAUCAAGGUGCAGCUUAUAGAUAAGUAAACAUGGGUUACAAUAAAAUUUAUUUAAUAUGAAUUAAGUAUUUAAAUAUAUUUAUGAAGGAGGAUUUAAUUGUAAGGAGAGGAGUAGUGAGAUUUUCUGAUAAAAGCUCUAAAUUAUGUACAUAU